rnacentral:rRNA from 1 species
UAGCGUUGCUCGGAAUCACUGGGAGUAAAGCGCCCGUAGGCGGAUUGCUAAGUCAGGGGUGAAAUCCUGGAGCUCAACUCCAGAACUGCCUUUGAUACUGGCGAUCUUGAGUCCGGGAGAGGUGAGUGGAACUGCGAGUGUAGAGGUGAAAUUCGUAGAUAUUCGCAAGAACACCAGUGGCUAAGGCUUCUCACUGGCCCGGUACUGACGCUGAGGUGCGAAAGCGUGGGGAGCAAACAGG